rnacentral:tRNA from 1 species
UUGUGCAUAAGCUGGGUAUUGCAGGUUCAGCGCCUGCAGGGCGUUUUCGAUCAGGUCGAGCCGGCGCUGGUGCAAGGCCACAAUGCGCUGG